rnacentral:tRNA from 1 species
GCAGGGGUAGCAAAGCUUGGUCAAAGCAACCCUUUUUUCUUUUCAUAAAAGAAAAAAGUCUUGCAGCCCAAAAAAGAAAAAUGGGCUGAAAAUGAAAAUGAUGAACCAGUUGUUCUCAGCUUGGCGUUAGUCACCAAGUACAGGUCAGCGGUAAAUUGCGUUUUUGACUAAAUGCGCAGGAUUGAGGUUCCUGUCUCUUAGGAGUUCGAGAGUUCAAAUCUCUCCCCCUGCA